rnacentral:rRNA from 1 species
AGUUAAAAAGCUCGUAGUUGGAUUUCGGAGUGGGCCAGUUGGUCCGCCGCAAGGUGUGUCACUGACUGGUUUGCUCUUCUUCGCAAAGACCGCGUGUGCUCUUGAGUGAGUGUGCGUAGGAUUUACGACGUUUACUUUGAAAAAAUUAGAGUGUUCAAAGCAGGCUAUUGCUUGAAUACAUGAGCAUGGAAUAAUGGAAUAGGACUUUGGUCCCAUUUUGUUGGUUUCUAGGGCCGAAGUAAUGAUUAAGAGGGACAAUUGGGGGCAUCCGUAUUUCGUUGUCAGAGGUGAAAUUCUUGGAUUUACGAAAGACGAACAACUGCGAAAGCACUUGCCAAGAGUGUUUUCAUUAAUCAAGAACGAAAGUUAGAGGAUCGAAGACGACCAGAUACCGUCCUAGUUCUAACCAUAAACGAUGUCGACUAGGGAUCAGCGGGCGUUAUCGUACGACCCCGUUGGCACCUUACGGGAAACCAAAGUUUUUGGAUUCCGGGGGAAGUAUGGUUGCAAAGCUGAAACUUAAAGGAAUUGACGGAAGGGCACCACCAGGAGUGGAGCCUGUGGCUCAAUUUGACUCAACACGGGAAAACUUACCAGGUCCAGACAUAGUAAGGAUUGACAGGUUGAGAGC